CCUACGGGAGGCAGCAGUGAGGAAUAUUGGUCAAUGGACGAGAGUCUGAACCAGCCAAGUAGCGUGAAGGAUGACUGCCCUAUGGGUUGUAAACUUCUUUUAUAAAGGAAUAAAACGAGGCACGUGUGCCUUUUUGCAUGUACUUUAUGAAUAAGGAUCGGCUAACUCCGUGCCAGCAGCCGCGGUAAUACGGAGGAUCCGAGCGUUAUCCGGAUUUAUUGGGUUUAAAGGGAGCGUAGAUGGGUUGUUAAGUCAGUUGUGAAAGUUUGCGGCUCAACCGUAAAAUAGCAAUUGAUACUGGCAGUCGUGAGUACAGUUGAGGUAGGCGGAAUUCGUGGUGUAGCGGUGAAAUGCUUAGAUAUCACGAAGAACCCCGAGUGCGAAGGCAGCUUACUAAACUGUGACUGACAUUGAUGCUCGAAAGUGUGGGUAUCAAACAGGAUUAGAUACCCUAGUAGUC
rnacentral:rRNA from 1 species